AUGGAUGAAGAGCAACAUCGAGAGAGUUCAAAAUCACCUCAAAAAAAACUGAAGACAGUUGAAUUCAAGAAAAAGAAACGUGUCAGAUUUCUGUUACCCUGCAAAUCUGACAAGAAAAAGAAACUCUCUUUCCCAGGAGAUACAGAUGAGGCAGUGUUCAGAUGUGACUGCCACUACUGCCAGAAGUGCGUGGGGAACACAUCCAGGGUCUCUGUGGGAACUGGAACAGAAGCAGUUUCUCAGUCAUCCUCCUGGGAAAAGCUAACACUAGACCUCAGUAACUUGACACUCAACCCUCACACCACCCAGCCCUGUCUUGUGCAAGACACCAUACCGAAAACAGAGAACAAAACACAGUGGCAAUGGAAAAACAAAAGGGUGUUUAAAAAGGUUCUCCAUGAAUGGACAGAA
rnacentral:lncRNA from 14 species